UUGCGGAAAUAAGUAGUAGAUUUUUAAUCUGCCUACGGGCUAGUAGCCCUAA
rnacentral:tRNA from 1 species